rnacentral:rRNA from 1 species
UACGGAGGAUGCGUGCGUUAUCCGGAUUUAUUGGGUUUAAAGGGUGCGUAGGCGGACGCUUAAGUCAGCGGUAAAAUUGCGGGGCUCAACCUCGUCGAGCCGUUGAAACUGGGUGCCUUGAGUGGGCGAGAAGUACGCGGAAUGCGUGGUGUAGCGGUGAAGUGCAUAGAUAUCACGCAGAACUCCGAUUGCGAAGGCAGCGUACCGGCGCCCAACUGACGCUGAAGCACGAAGGCGUGGGUAUCGAACAGG